AGGUCUGUGGUGUUUGCUGCAGGCUGUGUUCUUACACUGCUAGAUAGAAAUAGGGAGCAGGAUAAACCUACCCCAUAUACACCUCAGCCCCGGGCCUGUGCUUGCUCUGUAUUGCCAGUAGGGAGACAAGC